UCUACAUUAGCACAGUGGAAAUGCGUAUCCCUCCUAAGGAUAAGAUCGUAGGUUCGAUCCCUACAUGUGGAG
rfam:Dictyostelium fasciculatum unplaced genomic scaffold Scf_Dfasci-F-a-11f03.f1-5, whole genome shotgun sequence.